UAGCAUGAGGUCAGACAAGUGA
rnacentral:rRNA from 1 species